AUAAAUGGUGAUGAUAAUGAAUGGGAUGCUUUUGUUUGAGCCGUUUCAAAUAGUGCUUUAUGCGCGGGCAUUCUCAGACAUUUUCAUACCAAUUUCAUGCUAUUUCAGCAUUGACCAUGUUCACUUUUGAAUAUGUAGCUUUUAAAAAUAAGAACAUUUAAUCAACCGUUCUUAUAGACACAACAAUGUAUAUAUAUAUUUAUUAAUUGCAUGUAUUGAAAUAGUUUUUAAAUUUGUUUUUGUGUUUUUUUCACUAAAAA
rnacentral:lncRNA from 1 species